UCUCCACGGUUACGGUCACGAUUUCGGAGACACUGGUGCGCAACCGACCGUGUAAUUUACUGCGAAUCAGCGUCAAUUUAGCGAUACUCGACUAGAUCAUCGCCAACCUCUUUUAUCUAUUCUGUUCGAGUAGAUAGAGUUCAUUGGAAUUAUGAGAAAAGCGUAUUAUUGGAACGAAUUUUUAAGAGUAUCAGUAAUAUAAUUAGAAAAGAGAAGAAACAGAAAUAAUAUCAAAUCGUUAGUAGCAAAAUACCAAUGAAGUAGAAAGGAAAAUAUAAGAGACGAGCGUACAUAGGGAUUAAAUCGUGUACGAGGCUCCACCUAUGAAAAGCAUUGCGCUCGACCGCUUGCAAGUCCAAUGCCAGGACUUUUCAUGCAACAUUGUGAGGAACGUAUGUAGCGCUUCCGUAAUAUUACCUCAAAGAUUAUACGGAACAGGAUACUUUUAUUAAACUAUCCGGGACAGAAAUCUCGUCAGCGGUCGUAAACUUCAAAGUACCGACGAUAAGAACCGUGGAGGACACGAAUCGAUAUCAAGGCGGUGUCCUAUAGGGAAAUUCUCUUUCAUGGAAUGCGGACUCAUUGCCCGGCGUUAUAAAAUUAAGCAUCGCGUUUCAACAUGCAAUCGCGCUGUAUGCUACCAGUUUCUCGCGAUGAUUCGUUCACAGGAGAAUGCAAGCUGAUUGCCUGAAACAUUAUGACUGUGGUAUACAGGAUGAAUAUUUGUUGAUUUUUAAUUUAAUAAUUUUUAUCUAACUUAUCUCUGUUGAUUGGAAAAAUCGAAUUAACUCGUUAUCUAUAUUGUUAAUAUUUUUAAUUUUAU